UGGGAUGAGGCUGCGGGCCAUCAGCUAGUUGGUGAGGUAAUGGCUCACCAAGGCGACGACGGUUAGGGGGCCUGAGAGGGUGACCCCCCACACUGGGACUGAGACACGGCCCAGACUCCUACGGGAGGCAGCAGUGAGGGAUAUUGCGCAAUGGACGAAAGUCUGACGCAGCGACGCCGCGUGGGCGAAGAAGGUUUUCGGAUCGUAAAGCCCUUUUCUUGGUGACGAGAACGGACGGUAGCCAAGGAAAAAGUGUCGGCUAACUACGUGCCAGCAGCCGCGGUAAAACGUAGGACGCAAGCGUUAUCCGGAGUUACUGGGCGUAAAGCGCGUGCAGGCGGAUCGGUAAGUCAUUUAUGAAAGCUCCUGGCUAAACUGGGAGAGGCUGGAUGAGACUGUCGAUCUUGAGAGAGGAAGAGGAAGGUAGAAUUCCGCGUGUAGUGGUGAAAUGCGUAGAUAUGCGGA
rnacentral:rRNA from 1 species